CCUACGGGAGGCAGCAGUGAGGAAUAUUGGUCAAUGGGCUUACGCCUGAACCAGCCAAGUCGCGUGAGGGAAGACUGCCCUAUGGGUUGUAAACUUCUUUUAUAAAGGAAUAAAGUGAGGCACGUGUGCCUUUUUGUAUGUACUUUAUGAAUAAGGAUCGGCUAACUCCGUGCCAGCAGCCGCGGUAAUACGGAGGAUCCGAGCGUUAUCCGGAUUUAUUGGGUUUAAAGGGAGCGUAGAUGGGUUGUUAAGUCAGUUGUGAAAGUUUGCGGCUCAACCGUAAAAUUGCAAUUGAUACUGGCAGCCUUGAGUACAGUUGAGGUAGGCGGAAUUCGUGGUGUAGCGGUGAAAUGCUUAGAUAUCACGAAGAACUCCGAUUGCGAAGGCAGCUUACUAAACUGCCACUGACAUUGAUGCUCGAAAGUGUGGGUAUCAAACAGGAUUAGAUACCCCAGUAGUC
rnacentral:rRNA from 1 species